rfam:Capsicum annuum cultivar Zunla-1 chromosome 7, whole genome shotgun sequence
GCAUCCAAGGAUGAAUGGUUAAAUCACCCAACUCAUUAUAGGCAAAUUCGUAGGUUAAAUUCCUACUGGAUGCA